rnacentral:rRNA from 1 species
CCCAAAGGUUCCCUCAGAAUGGUUGGAAAUCAUUCGAAGAGUGCAAAGGCAUAAGGGAGCUUGACUGCGAGACCUACAAGUCGAGCAGGGACGAAAGUCGGGCUUAGU